rnacentral:rRNA from 1 species
UACGGAGGGUGCAAGCGUUAUCCGGAUUCACUGGGUUUAAAGGGUGCGUAGGUGGGCAGUUAAGUCAGUGGUGAAAUCUCUGGGCUUAACCCAGAAACUGCCAUUGAUACUAUCUGUCUUGAAUACCGUGGAGGUGAGCGGAAUAUGUCAUGUAGCGGUGAAAUGCUUAGAUAUGACAUAGAACACCAAUUGCGAAGGCAGCUCACUACACGAAUAUUGACACUGAGGCACGAAAGCGUGGGGAUCAAACAGG